GAUGAACGCUGGCGGCGUGCCUAAUACAUGCAAGUCGAGCGAACGGACGAGAAGCUUGCUUCUCUGAUGUUAGCGGCGGACGGGUGAGUAACACGUGGAUAACCUACCUAUAAGACUGGGAUAACUUCGGGAAACCGGAGCUAAUACCGGAUAAUAUUUUGAACCGCAUGGUUCAAAAGUGAAAGACGGUCUUGCUGUCACUUAUAGAUGGAUCCGCGCUGCAUUAGCUAGUUGGUAAGGUAACGGCUUACCAAGGCAACGAUGCAUAGCCGACCUGAGAGGGUGAUCGGCCACACUGGAACUGAGACACGGUCCAGACUCCUACGGGAGGCAGCAGUAGGGAAUCUUCCGCAAUGGGCGAGAGCCUGACGGAGCAACGCCGCGUGAGUGAUGAAGGUCUUCGGAUCGUAAAACUCUGUUAUUAGGGAAGAACAUACGUGUAAGUAACUGUGCACAUCUUGACGGUACCUAAUCAGAAAGCCACGGCUAACUACGUGCCAGCAGCCGCGGUAAUACGUAGGUGGCAAGCGUUAUCCGGAAUUAUUGGGCGUAAAGCGCGCGUAGGCGGUUUUUUAAGUCUGAUGUGAAAGCCCACGGCUCAAUCGUGGAGGGUCAUUGGAAACUGGAAAACUUGAGUGCAGAAGAGGAAAGUGGAAUUCCAUGUGUAGCGGUGAAAUGCGCAGAGAUAUGGAGGAACACCAGUGGCGAAGGCGACUUUCUGGUCUGUAACUGACGCUGAUGUGCGAAAGCGUGGGGAUCAAACAGGAUUAGAUACCCUGGUAGUCCACGCCGUAAACGAUGAGUGCUAAGUGUUAGGGGGUUUCCGCCCCUUAGUGCUGCAGCUAACGCAUUAAGCACUCCGCCUGGGGAGUACGACCGCAAGGUUGAAACUCAAAGGAAUUGACGGGGACCCGCACAAGCGGUGGAGCAUGUGGUUUAAUUCGAAGCAACGCGAAGAACCUUACCAAAUCUUGACAUCCUUUGACAACUCUAGAGAUAGAGCCUUCCCCUUCGGGGGACAAAGUGACAGGUGGUGCAUGGUUGUCGUCAGCUCGUGUCGUGAGAUGUUGGGUUAAGUCCCGCAACGAGCGCAACCCUUAAGCUUAGUUGCCAUCAUUAAGUUGGGCACUCUAAGUUGACUGCCGGUGACAAACCGGAGGAAGGUGGGGAUGACGUCAAAUCAUCAUGCCCCUUAUGAUUUGGGCUACACACGUGCUACAAUGGACAAUACAAAGGGCAGCGAAACCGCGAGGUCAAGCAAAUCCCAUAAAGUUGUUCUCAGUUCGGAUUGUAGUCUGCAACUCGACUACAUGAAGCUGGAAUCGCUAGUAAUCGUAGAUCAGCAUGCUACGGUGAAUACGUUCCCGGGUCU
rnacentral:rRNA from 1 species